GCUGCCUGCCUCCGGCGCGCUCAAGGCCCGACCAAGGUUCUGGCUGACCCGCUCCCUUGGAGAUGGGGCCAUGGUGGAACUGCUGCGCUGUCAGCCGGUGGCCGAGAUGCCGCACAGUCGCACUAGAAGAUGCGAGCUCGAUACUCAACAGGCAAAGUGUCAGGAUUUGCCCUCUGAUGCAUAGUGUGUGCAGCAACGUAGGAGUGAUCAUCCUUCACAGAAUUAUAAUGCAAUUCCAAAGGAUUAAUUUGCACGUGUUGGAACAAAAGAAACGGGGCUAUUGAAGAU
rnacentral:rRNA from 1 species